GCUUACGACCACACCGGCCUGAGUACGCCUGAUCUCGUCUCAUCUUGGAAGCUAAGCAGGGUCGGGCCUGGUUAGUACUUGGAUGGGAGACCGCCUGGGAAUACCAGGUGCUGUAAGCU
rnacentral:rRNA from 1 species